UGGGGUGCUCGAGUGGCGAACGGGUGAGUAACACGUGAGUAACCUGCCCUUGACUUUGGGAUAACUUCAGGAAACUGGGGCUAAUACCGGAUAGGAGCUCCUGCUGCAUGGUGGGGGUUGGAAAGUUUCGGCGGUUGGGGAUGGACUCGCGGCUUAUCAGCUUGUUGGUGGGGUAGUGGCUUACCAAGGCUUUGACGGGUAGCCGGCCUGAGAGGGUGACCGGCCACAUUGGGACUGAGAUACGGCCCAA
rnacentral:rRNA from 1 species